rnacentral:rRNA from 1 species
ACUGAGGAAAGAAAAACCAACCGGGAUUGCCUUAGUAACGGCGAGUGAAGCGGCAAAAGCUCAAAUUUGAAAUCUGGUACCUUCGGUGCCCGAGUUGUAAUUUGGAGAGGGCAACUUUGGGGCCGUUCCUUGUCUAUGUUCCUUGGAACAGGACGUCAUAGAGGGUGAGAAUCCCGUGUGGCGAGGAGUGCGGUUCUUUGUAAAGUGCCCUUCGAAGAGUCGAGUUGUUUGGGAAUGCAGCUCUAAGUGGGUGGUAAAUUCCAUCUAAAGCUAAAUAUUGGCGAGAGACCGAUAGCGAACAAGUACAGUGAUGGAAAGAUGAAAAGAACUUUGAAAAGAGAGUGAAAAAGUACGUGAAAUUGUUGAAAGGGAAGGGCAUUUGAUCAGACAUGGUGUUUUGUGCCCUCUGCUCCUUGUGGGUAGGGGAAUCUCGCAUUUCACUGGGCCAGCAUCAGUUUUGGUGGCAGGAUAAAUCCAUAGGAAUGUAGCUUGCCUCGGUAAGUAUUAUAGCCUGUGGGAAUACUGCCAGCUGGGACUGAGGACUGCGACGUAAGUCAAGGAUGCUGGCA